rnacentral:lncRNA from 10 species
AAAAAAGAAAAGAAAAAAGAAAGCGAGAAAGGAAAUCAAGUGAAAUGACAAACUACUUACUGGGAGAAAGUUUUUGUAACCUCAGUGACAGAUAAAAGCGUUUCUCACCUCUGGAGGACUCAGCAUUCAAGGUGCCAUCUUGGAAGCAGAGAGCAGCCCUCACUAGACUACAAACCUGCUGGCGCUUUGAUCUUGGACUUCCC